rnacentral:lncRNA from 1 species
GUUCAUGACCAGGUCACCUCUACUCCCCUUACUCCCAGUGAUAACCUGUGGUCUAAGGAGUGGUGUCAUUUUCAGCGACUCAGCUCAUUUCUGCCUUCUCAGCAGCUUGCAAAGCUGGCGACUUCAGUUCCUGUUCCUGGAUUGGUGGCCCGGUCUACUCUACUUCCUGUUCCUCCGCCAGUGGCCCAGCCUAAUCUAGUUCCUGUUCCUCCAUCAGCAGCCCGGCCAACAUCAGACACUGGUUCUCUUUUGGCGGCCCAGUCGACAUCAGACUCUGGUUCUCAGUCAGUGGCCCGGCCAACUCCAGUUCCUCUUCUUGGAUCGGCAGCCUUGUCGACUCCAGUUUCUGUUCCUCCUCCAGUGGCCUGGUCUACACAAGUUCCUGGUCCUUGGUCGGCGGCCUCCAGGGUGCCCCCCCGGGCUCUGUAGCUAAGUCUACUGCGCACCCAGCAAUCCUGCCCUAUUCUGCCUGCCAGAUCUGCCAGAGAUUUUGUGAGGAGGCAUAUCAGUAAUUUUGUCACCGUGCUCUGUAUCUGCUGAGUCAGAUUAUUAAACUCAGCAAGUGACCAUUCCUGGUUCCCGUGUGCGGCAUUACAGUCAAUGAUGUAGCUUUUUAUUCAAUUUUUUUAAAGAAGUGUAUCAUCAGUAAAUGCGAAAUAGGAAGUCUUGGUCUUGAUAUCCGUGGUCUGUUUAUCUGCUGGCUACAGCUGAAGCCCUAAAACGUUAGCCAUUGUCCAAAGAAUAAAUCGUCAUCAGAUAUCUAUUGUGGGGACUUGGGCUUAGGAACUGAGGGUGGCCAGCUCAGGUCCAGCAUGGGCCACAGUAUGGAGUGUGGACUGUAAGCUGAAGAGGUGCCAGUUAACCACUUUGGCACUGCCAGGGUACCCUUUAACUUGGCAUGAAACUCCAAACUCCUUGGCGAGUGCCGAUAUGUGGCAGUCCCAUCACCCGACAUUUUUCACCUCAAUGCAUGUCUACAGGUCCUGGGUGAACAUGUCUGUAUUUUGGCCAAUGUGUGUGUCAACUGUUUAAUAAAGUGAAAAAAAUGAAUUUCCCACUUGGGGAUUAAUAACGUUAUUCUUCUCCGUCGUCUUCUAUAACCUAUAUAUCAGAGUAAAGGACACAAUGAUCCUGAAUUGUGCUUUGGCAUCUAAAAA